rnacentral:miRNA from 1 species
CUCAUCCUCCAUGGUCUCCAGCAACGCC